AUUGAACGCUGGCGGAAUGCUUUACACAUGCAAGUCGAACGGCAGCACGGACUUCGGUCUGGUGGCGAGUGGCGAACGGGUGAGUAAUAUAUCGGAACGUGCCCAGUCGUGGGGGAUAACGUAGUGAAAAUUACGCUAAUACCGCAUACGAUCUAUGGAUGAAAGCGGGGGACCUUUGGGCCUCGCGCGAUUGGAGCGGCCGAUAUCUGAUUAGGUAGUUGGUGGGGUAAAGGCUCACCAAGCCAACGAGCUGGAGCUGGUUUGAGAGGACGACCAGCACAACUGGGACUGAGACACGGCCCAGACUCCUACGGGAGGCAGCAGUGGGGAAUUUUGGACAAUGGACGCAAGUCUGAUCCAGCCAUUCCGCGUGCAGGACGAAGGCCUUCGGGUUGUAAACUGCUUUUGUACAGAACGAAAAGGUUUCUACUAAUACUAGGAGCUCAUGACGGUACUGUAAGAAUAAGCACCGGCUAACUACGUGCCAGCAGCCGCCGUAA
rnacentral:rRNA from 1 species